rnacentral:rRNA from 1 species
GAUGAACGCUGGCGGCGUGCCUAAUACAUGCAAGUCGAGCGAACGGACGAGAAGCUUGCUUCUCUGAUGUUAGCGGCGGACGGGUGAGUCACAUGUGGAUCACCCACCUAUAAGACUGGGAAAAUUUCGGGAAACCGGCUCUAAUCCCGGAUAAUAUUCUGAACCGUAUGGUUCAAAAGUGAAAGACGGCCUUGCUGUCACUUCUAGAUGGUUCCGCGCUGGAUUAGCUAGUUGGUAAGGUAACGGCUUACCAAGGCAACGAGGCAUAGGCGAACUGAGAGGGUGAUCGGCCACACUGGAACUUAGACACGGUCCAGACUCCUACGGGAGGCAGCAGUAGGGAAUCUUCCGCAAUGGGCGAAAGCCUGACGGAGCAACGCCGCGUGAGUGAUGAAGGUCUUCGGAUCGUAAAACUCUGUUAUGAGGGAAGAACAUAUGUGUAAGUAACUGUGCACAUCUUGACGGUACCUAAUCAGAAAGCCACGGCUAACUACGUG